GACGAACGCUGGCGGCGUGCCUAAUACAUGCAAGUCGAACGCAGUGGGGACGGGUGAGGAACACGUGGGUAACCUCCCAUCAGAGGGGAUAACACGUGGAAACUGGUGCUAAACCGAUAUUGGUGGAUGGACCCGCGGUGCAUUAGCUUGUUGGUGAGGUAACGGCUCACCAAGGCCACGAUGCAUAGAAGAACUGAGAGGGUGAACGGCCACACUGGGACUGAGACACGGCCCAGACUCCUACGGGAGGCAGCAGUAGGGAAUAUUCGGCAAUGGACGAAAGUCUGACCGAGCAACGCCGCGUGAAUGAAGAAGGUCUUCGGAUCGUAAAACUCUGUUGUUAGAGAAGCGGUAUCUAACCAGAAAGCAACGGCUAACUACGUGCCAGCAGCCGCGGUAAUUC
rnacentral:rRNA from 1 species